GACUCCUACGGGAGGCUGCAGCAACGAAUCUUCCGCAAUGGACGAAAGUCUGACGGAGCAAUGCCGUGUGCGGGCUAAGCCCUAUGGGGUGUAAACCCGCUGUCAGGGGAAAGAAAUUCUGAUCUACCCCAGAGGAAGGGCCGGCUAACUUCGUGCCAGCAGCCGCGGUAAUACGAAGGGCCCGAGCGUUAAUCGGAAUCACUGGGCUUAAAGAGCGUGUAGGCGGACGUGUAAAGUGCUUUGUGAAAUCCCACAGCUCAACUGUGGAACUGGCUCGGCAAACUACACGUCUUGAGGUCGGUAGGGGUCAACUGGAACUGUAGGUGGAACCGGUGAAAUGCGUAGAUAUCUACAGGGACGCCAAUGGUGAAAGACAGGUGACUGGGCCGGUCCUGACGCUGAGACGCGAAAGCGUGGGGAGCAAACGGGAUUAGAUACCCCGGUAGUCCACGCCGUAAACGAUGUGCACUGGGUCGCGAAGGUUCUCACACCGGCGCGGCCGAAGCUAAAGUAUUAAGUGCACCGCCUGGGGAGUACGGUCGCAAGGCUAAAACUCAAAGGAAUUGACGGGGGCUCACACAAGCGGUGGAACAUGUGGCUUAAUUCGAAGCAACGCGAAGAACCUUAUCCUAGGCUUGACAUGCUCGGAUUAUCUCCAUGAAAGUGGAGUACGCUCUUUGAGUGGAACGAGCACAGGUGCUGCAUGGCUGUCGUCAGCUCGUGCUGUGAAGUGUCGGGUUAAGUCCCUUAACGAGCGAAACCCCUGUCGCUAGUUGCCAGCAAUUCGGUUGGGGACUCUAGCGAGACUGCCGGUGUCAAGCCGGAGGAAGGUGGGGACGACGUCAAGUCAUCAUGGCCUUUAUGCCUAGGGCUGCACACGUGUUACAAUGGCGAGUACAGAGGGCCGCAAUACCGCAAGGUGGAGCAAAUCCCAAAAAGCUCGCCCCAGUUCAGAUCGGGGUCUGCAACUCGACCCCGUGAAGGUGGAAUCGCUAGUAAUCGCGUAUCAGCUCGACGCGGUGAAUACGUUCCUGAGCCUUGUACACACCGCCCGUCAAGUCAUGGAAGCUGGGAGCACCCGAAGUCGCCACGAUUCAGUGGUGCCGACG
rnacentral:rRNA from 1 species